GAAGCCCACUUGUGGGUGGAUUAGUGGCGAACGGGUGAGUAACACGUGAGUAACCUGCCCUUGACUCUGGGAUAAGCCUGGGAAACUGGGUCUAAUACCGGAUAUGACUGAUCAUCGCAUGGUGGUUGGUGGAAAGCUUUUUGUGGUUUUGGAUGGACUCGCGGCCUAUCAGCUUGUUGGUGAGGUAAUGGCUUACCAAGGCGACGACGGGUAGCCGGCCUGAGAGGGUGACCGGCCACACUGGGACUGAGACACGGCCCAGACUCCUACGGGAGGCAGCAGUGGGGAAUAUUGCACAAUGGGCGCAAGCCUGAUGCAGCGACGCCGCGUGAGGGAUGACGGCCUUCGGGUUGUAAACCUCUUUCAGUAGGGAAGAAGCCUUUCGGGGUGACGGUACCUGCAGAAGAAGCGCCGGCUAACUACGUGCCAGCAGCCGCGGUAAUACGUAGGGCGCAAGCGUUAUCCGGAAUUAUUGGGCGUAAAGAGCUCGUAGGCGGUUUGUCGCGUCUGCCGUGAAAGUCCGGGGCUCAACUCCGGAUCUGCGGUGGGUACGGGCAGACUAGAGUGAUGUAGGGGAGACUGGAAUUCCUGGUGUAGCGGUGAAAUGCGCAGAUAUCAGGAGGAACACCGAUGGCGAAGGCAGGUCUCUGGGCAUUAACUGACGCUGAGGAGCGAAAGCAUGGGGAGCGAACAGGAUUAGAUACCCUGGUAGUCCAUGCCGUAAACGUUGGGCACUAGGUGUGGGGGACAUUCCACGUUUUCCGCGCCGU
rnacentral:rRNA from 1 species